UUGCCGUUCUUCAGGACCUGGUUGCCAGACUCUUUCAGCAGCUGGGCGUAAGCUGUGGGGUCCAUCCUGCGAGGAGACGGAGAACUACGAUACAGAUCCAAAAGUCUGAUAAGUGGAGACUUUAUACAAAGAAAGGUAUGGCUGACUGCAGACCACGAUACAGUUGUUAAAACCAUGAAGCUGAUCGAAGUAAGAGGAAACCAUGUCAAGAUGCGCAACAAAUGUGGAUAAAGCAACCUGGAGACCAAUUUGUAGAGGCCUUAAGAAGCAAACAAGAGCGG